rnacentral:rRNA from 1 species
UACGUAGGGGGCAAGCGUUAUUCGGAUUCACUGGGCGUAAAGGGUGCGCAGGCGGCCGAGUGUGUGAGGCGUGAAAGCCCGGGGCUUAACCCCGGAAUUGCACCUCAAACUACACGGCUAGAGCAUUGGAGAGGGUAGCAGAAUUCAUGGUGUAGCAGUGAAAUGCGUAGAUAUCAUGAGGAAUACCAGAGGCGAAGGCGGCUACCUGGACAAUUGCUGACGCUCAGGCACGAAAGCGUGGGGAGCAAAAGGG